GCCGCGUGUGUGAAGAAGGCCUUCGGGUUGUAAAGCACUUUCAGCGAGGAGGAAAGGUUGGUAGUUAAUAACUGCUUGCUGUGACGUUACUCGCAGAAGAAGCACCGGCUAACUUCGUGCCAGCAGCCGCGGUAAUACGAGGGGUGCAAGCGUUAAUCGGAAUUACUGGGCGUAAAGCGUACGCAGGCGGUUUGUUAAGCCAGAUGUGAAAGCCCCGGGCUCAACCUGGGAAUUGCAUUUGGAACUGGCAAACUAGAGUCUUGUAGAGGGGGGUAGAAUUUCAGGUGUAGCGGUGAAAUGCGUAGAGAUCUGAAGGAAUACCGGUGGCGAAGGCGGCCCCCUGGACAAAGACUGACGCUCAUGUACGAAAGCGUGGGGAGCAAACAGGAUUAGAUACCCUGGUAGA
rnacentral:rRNA from 1 species